rnacentral:lncRNA from 1 species
UUCAUGCACUUAAAAACCAUAGGGCCUGCAUAAGCACAUCAAUCUUAAUCCAACAAUAAGAUAAUCGCUUAGAGUUAUUGAACCCUAUUCUAUACAAAUCCAUCCAGGUACAGGUUGCAAGGCACUUUAGUAAAUCACUAGCCCUUUUAGUGUGCAGAUUCCUAACACGGCCUAUUUACAAGUAAAGGAAAAACAGUUAUAUCACCUCCAUAAGGGAACUUUGUUAGCAGCUCUGUUUUAGCAACUCUCUGCAGCCAAAAUAAAUGAAAGAGAAAUCAAUAAGAUCGAAAUCUAACAUAGUGCUCAUUAUUCUUCAAGCUGAUGUGAAGCAUAUGUCAUCUAUAUAUUAAGCAGUUGAAUCCAGCUUAUAGAUUUGGCAUUGCACUCAGAAAGCAUUUA